rnacentral:lncRNA from 1 species
GCUGUCUUCUUUUAGGUUUGUUGAAGGAUUACUUUCUUGCUUUUUCUAGGGUGUAGUUUCCAUUCUUGUGUUGGUGUUUUCCCUUUAUUAUCCUUUGAAGGGCUGGAUACCUGGAAAGAUAAUGUGUGAAUUUGAUUUUGUCAUGGAAUACUUUGGUUUCUCCAUCUAUGGUAAUUGAGAGUUUUGCUGAGUAUAGUAGCAUGGGCUGGCAUUUGUGUUCUCUUAGGGUCUGUAUAACAUCUGUCCAGGAUCUUCUGACUUUCAUAGUCUCUGGUGAAAAGUCUGGUGUAAUUCUGUUAGGUUAUAUGUUACUUUACCUUUUUCCCUUACUGCUUUUAAUAUUCUAUCGUUAUUUAGUGCAUUUGUUGUUCUGAUUAUUAUGUGUCAGGAGGAAUUUCUUUUCUGGUCCAGUAUAUUUGAAGUUCUGUAGGCUUCUUGUAUGUUCAUGGGCAUCUCUUUCUUUAGAUUUGGGAAGUUUUCUUCUAUAAUAUUGUUGAAGAUAUUUGCUGGAACUUUAAGUUGAAAGUCUUCAUCCUCAUCUACUCCUAUUAUCCAUAGGUUUGGUCUUCUCAUUGUGUCCUGGAUUUCCUGGAUGUUUUGAGUUAGGAUCUUUUUGCAUUUUGAAUUUUUUGAUUGUUCUCUAUGUUCUCCAUGGAAUCUUCUGCCCCUGAGAUUCUCUCUUCCAUCUCUUGUAUUCUGUUGCUGAUGCUCGCAUCUAUGGUUCCUGAUUUCUUUCUUAGGGCUUCUAUCUCCAGAGUUGUCUCCCUUUAGGUUUUCUUUAUUGUGUCUACUUCCCUUUUUAGGUCUUGGAUGGUUUUGUUCAAUUCCAUCACCUCUUUGUAUUUUCCUGUAAUUCUUUAAGGGAUUUUGUGUUUCCUCUUUAAGGACUUCUACCUGUUUAGCAGUAUUCUCCUGUAUUUCUUUAAGUGAGUUAUUAAUGCCCUUCGUAAAGUCCUCUACCAGCAUCAUGAGAUAUGAUUUUAAAUCCGAAUCUUGCUUUUCGGGUGUGUUUGGGUAUCCAGGACUGGCUGAGUUGGGAGUGCUGGAUUCUGAUGAUGGUGAAUUGCCUUGGUUUCUGUUAGUAAGAUUCUUAUGUUUGCCUUUUGCCAUCUGGUAAUCUCUGGUGUUAGUUGUUAUAGUUGUCUCUGGCUGGAGCUUGAUCCUCCUGUGAUUCUGUUAGCCUCUGUCAGCAGUCCUGGGAGUACAGCUCUCUCCUGAAUUUCAGUGGUCAGAGUACUCUUUGCAGACAAGCUCUCCUCAUUCAGGGAAGGUGCAUGUAGGUCUGGUGCUCAGACCUGCCUCCUGGCUGAAGAUGAAGGCCUGUUGUUUCUGUAGUCUGCUUGCUCACCCUCCACAGUCUGAGUGCUCACCUGUGCAGACUGGUCUCUGAGGGACCUGGGACACAAGAUGGCUCCCUCACCUGCUUGGGUGGUCAGAGCCUUCUCAGGUGACCACCUCUCCUCUGGGGGUUGGGGGGAAGGUACCGGGAUGUCAGGAGCCCAAAGCAGGGUCUGUUCCAGAAGCUCUGUAGCUUCUGCAGUCUGCUUGCUCAAGCUCCACAGUCUGUGCGCUCACCUGUGCAAACUGAUCUCCGAGGGACCUAGGACACCAGUCUAGCUUUUUCAUACUGGCUAUGUAGCUAGCUACAUGGCAGAUGACCUGUGUGUGUGUGUGUGUGUGUGUGUGUGUGUGUGUGUGUGUGUGUGUGUAGAUGAUUUAUUGAAAUUACUUGCAGGUGCAAGCAGCAGUCUAGCUGGUCCAAGAAUGCCUGGCUGUAAACAGAACAUCCAAGAAUCCUGUACUUGCUCAGUCCACAAGGCUGGAUGUUUCAGUUGAUCUUCGGUAUAUGCUGGAAUCCUGAAGAAAUAGGCUCUAAAGCCAGUGAAAGGAUAGACUUCUUAGAAAGGUGAGGGCAAGCAGGCAAAGAACAGAAGCUUCCUUCUUCCAUGUCCUUAUAUAGGAUUCCAGCAGAAUGUGUGGCCCAGAAUAGAUCUGAGUUAAAAGUGUGUCUUCCUACCUCAAAGAUUCAAAUUAGAAAUGGAUCUUUUUUACUUUACAUUAAGC